UCAAAUGCGAUGAAGAGACGAGUAAAUAAAUGAAUUCUUUCACAGAGAGCUCCGGCAGUUGAAAAGGAGUAAAGGGUUCCUUAUUGAAUAAAGCCUCAGAGCAGCACAUCGGAACUUUAUUAGAAAGGGAUGGUGUGACAGGAGCUCCUGUUACAGAGCUAGAGUAUAUGCAUUCACUGUAAUGCUGUACUUGAUGAGGCUAAUGUGGCGACAUAUUGGCAAAUCUGGGGUGGUACCACGAGUUUAGUAAUCUCGUCCCUAAG
rnacentral:ncRNA from 1 species